rnacentral:tRNA from 1 species
CCUUCGAUAGCUCAGUUGGUAGAGCGGUGGACUGUAGUGUGAGUAGAAGGUAGAGAGAGAGACAUCCAUAGGUCGCUGGUUCAAAUCCGGCUCGAAGGA